GGGUCAGUAGGUUGGUCGUGCCACCGGUACGUACUGGUCUCACUGAUUCCUCCUUCCUGAAGAACCGUAAGGCCAUUAAUUUGGUGUUGCGGGGAAACAGGACUGUUACUUUGAAAAAAUUAGAGUGUUUAAAGCAAGCUAACGCUUGAAUACAUUAGCAUGGAAUAAUGAAAUAGGACGAUCGAUCCUAUUUUGUUGGUUUCUAGGAUUGACGUA
rnacentral:rRNA from 1 species